GCGGCUGUAGCUCAGUGGAUAGAGUAUUGGCCUCCGAAGCCAAGGGUCGUGGGUUCGAUCCCCGCCAGCCGCACCA
rnacentral:tRNA from 381 species